GCCGGGAUGGCGGAAUUGGUAGACGCGCUGGACUCAAAAUCCAGUAUCUGCGAGGAUGUGGGGGUUCGAGUCCCCCUCCCGGCACCA
rnacentral:tRNA from 3 species